GGAGUAGUGGUCUAAUGGUAGGGUACUAUGCAUGCCGUCCGCGGAAGUGCUUUGCAGUGAUGCUGGUUCGAGUCCGGCCUGCUCCA